UACGAAGGGGGCUAGCGUUGUUCGGAUUUACUGGGCGUAAAGCGCACGUAGGCGGAUUGUUAAGUGAGGGGUGAAAUCCUGGAGCUCAACUCCAGAACUGCCUUUCAUACUGGCAAUCUAGAGUCCGGAAGAGGUAAGUGGAACUCCUAGUGUAGAGGUGGAAUUCGUAGAUAUUAGGAAGAACACCAGUGGCGAAGGCGGCUUACUGGUCCGGUACUGACGCUGAGGUGCGAAAGCGUGGGGAGCGAACAGG
rnacentral:rRNA from 1 species